rnacentral:tmRNA from 1 species
GGGGGCGACUGGCUUCGACGGAAUUAGUGAAGCUGUGGCUGCGUGCCCAGGUCAUCCGUGUCCUGGUUAAAUAAGCGGGUAAAUUUUUAACUGCCAACAACAACUUGGCCCUGGCUGCGUAACUCUUAGGAGUUGCUGCACCUGCUCUUUAGAAAGCCCUCCUGAGGCGGUUUAAAGAGUAUCGCAAAUUCGGGAUAGGCGGGUGUCGCGCUUUCCGGCGUCCGGCGAAACUUUAGAGAGCUUGUUCAGUAGUGGGCUGCCCUCUGGCCAGCGACUGGAGACACUAAUCAGAGGAAUACGCACGUAGACGCUGUGGUGAAUCUGUUUUCGGACCGGGGUUCGAAUCCCCGCGCCUCCAUCA